GUUAUUGUAGCUUAAACUAAUUAAAGCACGGCACUGAAAAUGCCGAAAUGGACAGUAGUCCCAAAAACA
rnacentral:tRNA from 1 species